rnacentral:rRNA from 1 species
CAUGAAGUCGGAAUCGCUAGUAAUCGCGGGUCAGCAUACCGCGGUGAAUACGUUCCCGGGCCUUGUACACACCGCCCGUCACACCACGAAAGUUGGUAACACCCGAAGCCGGUGGCCUAACCCUUAGGGAGGGAGCUGUCGAAGGUGGGACUGAUGAUUGGGUGAAGUCGUAACAAGGUACC